CCUUCAGAUAAGGUCCUUUCUUUUUCGUUAUUUAUGUCAUGUGCCCUAGUUUACAAGCCUUCACUGUGAACUACAGCACUUGGGUGAAACAGCUGGUUGGUAAGGAGAUUCCAGUCACAUGAAAAUGUGGGAACAAGAGCCUGCAUGCAUUUCUCCUAAACACCCGUUGUGGCUGUUGUUGAAGACCUGACCCUGGAGUAAAAGGAUCCCUUCCCAUAGGCAGUACAAUUCUACUGAGAAGGGUAAGGAAUGGGGAAGGUUUCAGCCCACCCUUCUAAUGACAGCAAAAGAUGACCAAACGUCUGCCUUCUCUUAUGGACUGAGAAGAUAUCACUGAACAAGGAAGAUAAAUCCCAAGGAUUGAAAAAAAAUGAUUUGGUGUUCCAUUUACAUUCUCUGAUCUCAGAGAAGGAGAAUGAGUAUAGUCCUGACAUUGUAAGCUUCUCCAACAUGAUCCACACAGUUCAAAAUGUAUUUUUGUUUGUUUGCUUGCUUUUGUUUGUUUGUUUGUUUGUUUUCUUUUCACAGAAGAGUUUGUGAUUGUAUAGAAACAUUUAGGAGCAUGGUUGAAAGGCUGCUUUAUUGUCUUACUCAUCCUGUCUACUUUGUUUCUUUGUUUAGAUAUAUUUCACCAAUAUUGUUUUGUUUUUACACUGAUUAGUACUUCAGACCUGGACUCCUCUCCAUCUCUGAAAUAACUAACAGCAGUGCUAGCUAAAUUCUAAAUUCUUAACCUCAGUGUUCUAGUUAAAGAUUUCACUUAUAAUGUGGCAGAAUAAUAAUACUUAAACAUACCAUAUAUGCUAUAUGAAAAAAAUGUGUAAAUGGAAACAGAGGUAGGGGUGUAAAUCAAUGGUAUUUCUAUAUAGGUUUUAAUUCAACAUGAGAUGCUUCAAGAUUUGAUGUAUUUUUGAGAAAAAGGCACUGAAUGGGAUCUUAAUAUUGUAAUUUUAAUAUUCUUCUCAGUGGAAUAGUUCUAUUUUGUAUUUGAUUCCAUCACAUUAGGUAACUAAUUAGAAUGUAGAAAAAAAAUAAUACUCUGAAAUGUUUUAAAUGAAAAUAUUUUAAUAUAAUUUAAUAUAAAUAUUCUGAUGUAUCUCAGAAUUACUUAUAAAAAGUUACAUUUGUCAUAUAUGUAAAACUUAGGAUUGUUUUCCCUUCAACUAUAAGUAGCUUUCUUUCCUGUCAACAAGUUCCUGAGUUUGAACUAAGUCAUUCUGCUAUGUCCUGUGUUCAUGCAGCAGUUGCCCUGGGGAAAAAUGACAAUUUAAUACAAAAACACAGUCAGGGAUAUGUGGGUGGCAAUGACAAUGGCAGAACUAAGGCUCAAAACAGGAGACAGACUUUGAAUACCAGAUUGCUGAUUAUGCUCUAAAAAUAACCCUUAAAUAUUCAGCUGAAUAUAUGAAUAUAUUCAUGAUUACUUUAUAAUAAACUUGUUGUAUAGA